UACGUAGGGCGCAAGCGUUGUCCGGAUUUAUUGGGCGUAAAGAGCGUGUAGGCGGCUAGGUAGGUCCGUUGUGAAAACUCGAGGCUCAACCUCGAGACGUCGAUGGAAACCAUCUAGCUAGAGUCCGGAAGAGGAGAGUGGAAUUCCUGGUGUAGCGGUGAAAUGCGCAGAUAUCAGGAAGAACACCCGUGGCGAAGGCGGCUCUCUGGGACGUGACUGACGCUGAGACGCGAAAGCGUGGGGAGCGAACAGG
rnacentral:rRNA from 1 species